UGGGGAAUAUUGCGCAAUGGGCGAAAGCCUGACGCAGCGACGCCGCGUGGGGGAUGACGGCCUUCGGGUUGUAAACCUCUUUCAGCAGGGACGAAGCGCAAGUGACGGUACCUGCAGAAGAAGCACCGGCCAACUACGUGCCAGCAGCCGCGGUAAUACGUAGGGUGCAAGCGUUGUCCGGAAUUAUUGGGCGUAAAGAGCUCGUAGGCGGUCUGUCGCGUCGGCUGUGAAAUCCCGAGGCUCAACCUCGGGUCUGCAGUCGAUACGGGCAAACUAGAGUAUUGCAGGGGAGACUGGAAUUCCUGGUGUAGCGGUGAAAUGCGCAGAUAUCAGGAGGAACACCGGUGGCGAAGGCGGGUCUCUGGGCAAUAACUGACGCUGAGGAGCGAAAGCGUGGGGAGCGAACA
rnacentral:rRNA from 1 species